rnacentral:rRNA from 1 species
UACAGAGGUCCCAAGCGUUGUUCGGAUUCACUGGGCGUAAAGGGUGCGUAGGUGGCGAGGUAAGUCGGAUGUGAAAGCUCGGAGCUCAACUCCGAAAUGGCAUUGGAAACUACCUGGCUAGAGGGUUGGAAGGGGGACUGGAAUUCUCGGUGUAGCAGUGAAAUGCGUAGAUAUCGAGAGGAACACCAGUGGCGAAGGCGAGUCCCUGGACAGCAACUGACGCUGAGACGCGAAAGCGUGGGGAGCAAACAGG